rnacentral:rRNA from 1 species
CUUCCUAGAAGAGUGACGGGCGAUUUGUGCAUAUUUAAUUUCUUCAUUCAACUUAAAUUUAUUUUUACAUUUAACUUUAAGUCCUUUUUCUUUUUUAUUCUUUUCAAUUCUAGUCUCUUAAUUUUUUGUAUCCCAUGGAACCCUUUCUAAUAAUCUCUGCCUUGAUUUGUAUUUUUAUUAUUAAAUUUUGAAAAAAAAUUCUUUAAAUUUUUGUUUAAUACAAUGGUAUAGAAAAUAAAAAAGAAAGUUCAAUUAAUCGUGGGUUGUCUAAUAAAGAAACAGGAUCCCCUAACUAGGUUAAAUACCGCCAUAUUCUUUUAAAUUUUGUUUAUUUAAGUACUUAUUAAUUUUUUUCUAAAA